AGGAACUGAAGCGACGGUGGACCUCAGUCCUCCAUCACAUCUGUGGGGAGCACACAUGGGAGCAAGAUGGAAGAAAGUGGACAUGCCCUCACCCUGCUCUAAACCCAGAUCAGCAAAGGACAAAGCGAUGGCUCCAGCCAGAGUCUCAAGUGUUCAAGUCUUUACGGAAUAUUGUUGAAGAUAAAAGACUUCUGAAAGACCUUGAGCAGAUGACUCGCUUCAAACAUACAGGAUCUUUGGAGGUGUACCACAACGUUAUGCUAAAAUAUCUGCCUAAACGACUGCAUUUUCGGUACGACACCAUGGUAGCCCGAACACAACUAGCCAUCCUGGACAACAAUUACAAUGUCGGCCGACAGCAGACAGAGACUUCUGAAGGACUUCCAAGAUACAGUAUGGUGUUCCCAAAACAGAGCAAGGAAUGGGUAGCCAAGAAGAUCUAUGAGCCUACAAGUCAGUACUUCACGCAACACCUUGUGAAACUCGUGUUGGAGAGAAGGGAGGAAAGAACACCGGAAGACAUACCACAUGUCCAGCGGCCUGCAAACAUUGCCACUAAGGAGAGACCCCCCAAGGAAGAUGUAAUCCAGAAACAUCAAUCCAGAUUCCCUCGCCACACUGAUGCUUGAAAAACCAAGGAUCCAGAUUGUAAAUUUGUUUAUA